UAUCGAACGAAUUUUCUACGAAUGAGAUACGAGCGGAACACGGCCGAAGAAACGUGCCGGAAAUUCUCUUCGUUUGUCAUCGGUCGGACUCCGAGUUCGUGUCGUGCGACUUGAUCAAGGGUAAGUGUAUGAUAUAUAAGAGACCAACGUCGGAAAGAUUUGCAUUUCCUUGUCGGAAGUAAGUUAAGAUGCCAUUUAUGUGUUCGAAAGUAAGGUACAAACGUAAUUUACAUUUAUAUUUUAGUGAUACAACGAGGAAUGCUGUAAAUAAACACAGAUAAGAUGCUUUUA